GCGCAGCAGUGAGAAUUUUUCACAAUGGGGGAAACCCUGAUGGAGCGACGCCGCGUGGAGGAUGAAGGUAUUCGUAUCGUAAACUCCUGUCAAACGGGAACAAGAAAGUGAUAGUACCGUCAGAGGAAGAGACGGCUAACUCUGUGCCAGCAGCCGCGGUAAUACAGAGGUCUCAAGCGUUGUUCGGAUUCAUUGGGCGUAAAGGGUGCGCAGGCUGUGGGGUAAGUCGGAUGUGAAAUUUAGGGGCUCAACCCCUAAACUGCAUUCGAUACUGCUCCGCUAGAGGACUGUAGAGGAGAUUGGAAUUCACGGUGUAGCAGUGAAAUGCGUAGAUAUCGUGAGGAAGACCAGUGGCGAAGGCGAAUCUCUGGGCAGUUCCUGACGCUCAUGCACGAAGGCCAGGGGAGCAAACGGGAUUAGAUACCCCGGUAGU
rnacentral:rRNA from 1 species